UACGAGGGGGGCGAGCGUUGUUCGGAAUUAUUGGGCGUAAAGGGGUGCGUAGGCGGUUUGGUAAGUCUGAUGUGAAAUCUAUGGGCUCAACUCAUAGUCUGCAUCGGAAACUGCCGGGCUUGAGUAUGGGAGAGGUGAGUGGAAUUCCUGGUGUAGCGGUGAAAUGCGUAGAUAUCAGGAGGAACACCUGUGGCGGAAGCGGCUCACUGGACCAUAACUGACGCUGAUGCACGAAAGCUAGGGGAGCAAACAGG
rnacentral:rRNA from 1 species